AACGAACGCUGGCGGCAGGCCUAACACAUGCAAGUCGAGCGAAGCCUUCGGGCUUAGCGGCGGACGGGUGAGUAACGCGUGGGAACGUGCCCUUUGGUACGGAAUAGCCCCGGGAAACUGGGAGUAAUACCGUAUGUGGUCGAGAGACGAAAGAUUUAUCGCCAAAGGAUCGGCCCGCGUUGGAUUAGGUAGUUGGUAGGGUAAUGGCCUACCAAGCCGACGAUCCAUAGCUGGUUUGAGAGGAUGAUCAGCCACACUGGGACUGAGACACGGCCCAGACUCCUACGGGAGGCAGCAGUGGGGAAUCUUAGACAAUGGGGGAAACCCUGAUCUAGCCAUGCCGCGUGAUCGAUGAAGGCCUUAGGGUUGUAAAGAUCUUUCAGUGGGGAAGAUAAUGACUGUACCCACAGAAGAAGCCCCGGCUAACUCCGUGCCAGCAGCAGCCGCCGUAA
rnacentral:rRNA from 1 species